CCAAUAGCGUAUAUUAAAGUUGUUGCAGUUAAAAAGCUCGUAGUUGAAUUUCGGGAUCAAUAUAUUGGUCGUGCCUCCGGUACGUACUGGUAUCGUUGAUUUCUACCUUCUGACGAACCAUGAUGUCAUUAAUUUGGUGUCAUGGGAAAUCAGGACUGUUACUUUGAAAAAAUUAGAGUGUUUAAAGCAGGCACACGCUUGAAUACAUUAGCAUGGAAUAAUGAAAUAGGACGUUUGACCCUAUUUUGUUGGUUUCUAGGAUCGACGUAAUGAUUAAUAGGGAUAGUUGGGGGCAUUAGUAUUCAAUUGUCAGGGGUGAAAUUCUUGGAUUUAUUGAAGACUAACUACUGCGAAAGCAUUUGCCAAGGAUGUUUUCAUUAAUCAAGAACGAAAGUUAGGGGAUCGAAGACGAUCAGAUACCGUCGUAGUCUUAACCAUAAACUAUGCCGACUAGGAAUCGGAUGAUGUUAAUUUUUUAAUGACUCAUUCGGCGCCUUACG
rnacentral:rRNA from 1 species